GACGAACGCUGGCGGCGUGCUUAACACAUGCAAGUCGAACGGAAAGGCCCCUUUGGGGGUACUCGAGUGGCGAACGGGGGCGUAACACGUGCGUAACCUGCCCUUGACUUCGGGAUAACUACAGGAAACUGGGGCUAAUACCGGAUAGGAAUCCUUGCUGCAUGGUGGGGGUUGGAAAGCUUCGGCGGUUUUGGAUGGACUCGCGGCUUAUCAGCUUGUUGGUGGGGUAGUGGCUUACCAAGGCUUUGGCGGGUAGCCGGCCUGAGAGGGCGACCGGCCACCUUGGGACUGAGAGACGGCCCCGGCUCCUACGGGAGGCAGCAGUGGGGAAUAUUGCACGAUGGGCGGCAGCCUGAUGCAGCAACGCCGCGUGCGGGAUGACGGCCUUCGGGUUGUAAACCGCUUUCAGCAGGGGCGAAGCUUGUGGUGACGGUACCUGCAGAAGAAGCACCGGCUAACUACGUG
rnacentral:rRNA from 1 species